GAGCAGCAUCAGUUUCUCUCUCCAUCUUUUUUCUCGAAUUGUUUGCCUUCUGCUUUUACGGCUCAUAAUAAGCAUCACAAUUUUAUUCUAACAGAAGACGCGGGAAGCGUUCCGCGGAAUAAUCUCGUCUGUUGAGUUCUGGGACGGUUCGGCUCUGAAUCAUGUGAAGCGCCGCUGAUGAACAGAACAGAACCGAACCGAAAGGAAGCGGAACCCUGACUCCCGCCGGACUGAUCGCGCGCUGAUCGGAUGGAUUGAUCAGGAGCGGCGCAGGAUGAGCAUGAGGGAUCUUCAGAAAGUUCUCACUCAGGUCCUCCUCCUGGCUCUCCUCCUGGGAUCUCCAGCACAAUCCAGGAAACAUCAGGUGGUGCGUGACGUGCGGACGGGAACGUGUGAGGUGGUGGCGUUACACCGAUGCUGCAAUAAGAACAAGAUCGAGGAGCGUUCGCAGACCGUCAAGUGCUCGUGUUUCCCGGGACAAGUGGCAGGAACCACCAGAGCGGCUCCGUCAUGCGUAGACGCCUCUAUAGUCCAGCAGAAGUGGUGGUGUCAGAUGCAUCCGUGUCUGGAUGGAGAGGACUGUAAAGUGCUGCCGGAUCUCAAAGGAUGGAGCUGCGCUACAGGGAAUAAGAUCAAGACCACAAAGAUCUCCUCAGACCGGGAUCAGCUCUGGUGACCGCUGGAAACCUGAUCCAGAGCCGUUCAUCCCAGGAUCUGCAGGGAACUCACAGCGCAUUAAUCAGCGGCUCAGACCUUCUCAUUAUUAACCAUGAUCGAGCUGACGGAUCAGGAUCCGGACCGAUGAAGGUCACGGAGCUCCGCCAAAACAUGAACUUCAUCCGUAUCCAGAUGGAUAAUGGGGGAAAAAACAGAUGAACAGUUUGUUCCCGCAUUUCUUGAAGCUCUAAUCUGAAUGUUCGUAUAUCCUCAUAUUGAAUGACAUCAUAUCAAAGAAGACUCCAGCAGGAUUUUUCUGCACUGCAGAUGCUUUGUCUGUGUGUA